GUGGGGAAUCUUAGACAAUGGGGGAAACCCUGAUCUAGCCAUGCCGCGUGAUCGAUGAAGGCCUUAGGGUUGUAAAGAUCUUUCAGGUGGGAAGAUAAUGACUGUACCACCAGAAGAAGCCCCGGCUAACUCCGUGCCAGCAGCCGCGGUAAUACGGAGGGGGCUAGCGUUGUUCGGAAUUACUGGGCGUAAAGCGCACGUAGGCGGAUUGGAAAGUUGGGGGUGAAAUCCCGGGGCUCAACCCCGGAACUGCCUUCAAAACUCCCAGUCUUGAGUUCGAGAGAGGUGAGUGGAAUGCCGAGUGUAGAGGUGAAAUUCGUAGAUAUUCGGAGGAACACCAGUGGCGAAGGCGGCUCACUGGCUCGAUACUGACGCUGAGGUGCGAAAGCGUGGGGAGCAAACAGGAUUAGAAACCCUGGUAGUCC
rnacentral:rRNA from 1 species